CACACAUGACCUCUGUCCUUCCAGCUGCCACCAGUUUCUGGGUUGUCGAGUGAUACCCUGAAAGUUUACAGUCAACACUCCUUGUGUGGGGUCAGUCCUAGAAAUGGCGACGCUGCUCUCCGAAGAUAGGAAAGAAAAGGACCUCAUUCCAUUGAGCCAUUGACCGAAAUAUUUUCUCAACAAAGUUGAACUGAGCUGAAACUGUGUGAAUCAUGGCAAUACAGUGAAAGACAGUGAUUUACUGCUUUUGAGGGCGUGCAUGUAUAUGAUUAACGGAUGGAAGUGCAGGACUCCAAGAUUUACUUCCUUCCCUUUCCAGCAGAAUUACCUGAGACGAGUAAAAUCUACUGGUGGAGUCACUCCAUUAUUCUUAUCUGUGGAGAUCUAGAUCUUGAUUUGAAAGUUUCUGAGAAAAUCUUCAGCUCAGACUUGAGGGUCAACUUUACCAGCUGAAGGAUCUGCAUUUACUGCUCAACCACAUCUAAUUUGAUGUCCUCUGCAGAUUUAAAAUGUGUGCCUUCUUUUCCGUCACCAAGUCAUCCCUGGGUUACUACUGAACAUCCUUCUCAAUUCCCCCCGACCCAUGGAUGGCUGUUCUCCAUUGUCUGUUUCACCAGAUGUCCUCAAAACAAACAGACAGAAGAAGGAAGUGGCUAAUGGAGCUGUGGAGUCCAAGUGUGACUGCCAAGAGGAAUCCAGCAAAGCCAAAAAGCCCAAGCAUGUAGCCCUGCCCGAAGCACGCCACACGCAUGGAAAACCCAGAGGAAAUGAGUGAGGAUCAAUGGGAAGAAGAGAGCCAGCCAGGAAGUUGAAGAUUUGUCCAGGAGCAGAUAGCUGAAGAGAGAGAGAGAGAAGAGAGAACGGCUUACAGCUCAGGUCCUCUCUCCAUGCUUAGGAACCACUACAAAUGCUACUGCCUUGAGUCUCAUUUUGUUUCCCUCUGGAAACCACAUGUGUACCUUGUUUGCAACAGUAUGGUUCUGGAGACCAGAAGGCCAAAAUCAAAAGUAUGGGCAGGCUUGAUUUCUUUAGAAGACUCCAGCGGAGAACUGUGUCUCCUUGCUUCUGAUUCUACAUCUCCAUCCAUGGGCCACUGUUUCAGCAACCUCAGCCAGUGCAACACAACCUCAGCCAAGAAGAGUAUGCAGAGAAAGGAGUCCCCUACCUGCCACAAAACUGUUGUCUGAAAACUGUCUCAUAUUGUCUCAAGUUGUCAUUCAUUGUGAAUUAGACCUGUUUAACAUGUAAUCUGCAACAUGCUUCACUGUCUAAUUUUCCAGAGCCCCUCAUAUAAGGAACUGUAUUAUUGGUAUAAUCAUCAUGGUGAAGAAGUUGGUAUGUGGGGGAGAGAUGACAGAAACAGAGAGUAAGUCAGAGCUGGCUGCCUGACAGAUAAAAAGGAAAUGACCAAAAAAAAAAAAAAAGACACAGAAGAAUACUUUGUUGUCCACACAGAAAAGGGAAGUGUAGGUAAGACAGCAGUAGACUAAGAUUCUUAAGACUCAAGUUCUAGUCUUAUUUAUUAGCUAUGGGAGGCCUUGAGGGAGUUCUAGAAUUAAGUGAUCUCUCUUUAUAAAAUAGGAACAGUAAUAACUUCCUGGCUAACUCCCUGGCUGUCUCACAAUGCUGUAGUAGUAAGAAAUAAUUUUAUAAUUAAAGACUAUUUUAGGGCUGAUUACAUUUUUGGGCAGUGGCUCAUACAUGUAAUUUCAACAUUUUGGGAGGCCAAGGUGGGCGGAUUGCUUGAGCCCAGGAAUUCAAGACCAGGCUGGGCAACACAGACCUUGUCACUACAAAAGAAAAAAACAUUAGCUAGGCGUGGUGAUGUAUGCCUGUGGUCCCAGCUACUCAGGAAGCUGAGACAGGAGGAUCACCUGAGCCUGGGAGGUCGAGGCUACAGUGAGCCAUGAUCACACUACUGCACUCCAGCCUGGGAAACAGAGUGAGACUCUGUCUCAAAAAAAAAAAAAAAGGAAUAUUUUACACUUCAAGGUUCUAUACAAAUGUAAAAUAUCAUUCUAUUACUUAUUUAUAAUGCUGAUUAUUCUUUAAAUGACUUUAAAAUGUUAAUCUCUGCUUGAGCCUACGGAGAAGUAUGUAACAAAUUUGUGAAGGAUUGGCAUUAAACAUAGUCAAAAUAAAACAUAGAAAUUAUGGUAAAUAAUUUAACUGGUAAAAUAAUCUAAGUGGUAGUUCUCAGGUAAGUGGAAAUUCGAUUAGCUGAUUGUUUAGGAUUCUUGGUUAUAAGUGACAGAGACCUGACUAAAAGUACAUGAAGCACAUAACUGAGAAGGUUGUGGUAUGGCUCAGCAGAAAUGGGAAAAUCUUGGGACUGGUUCGUGUUUUAUUUACAUUAUCUUUGUUCCCAGGCAGUCUCUGCAUGUAAGUGGCAAAGAUGACUGUCUGAAAAUAUAUACCUACUUUUUUAAAGGGCUAUCUCAAGCCAUUCUGGAGAAGCACCAAAAGCCACUUUGCUUAUACUGGGAGAAUAGUUUGCUUUCCCUAAUUUGUGAUGAGUGAAACACUGAACAGAGACAUAGAAUAAUAUUCUGUAGUUCAGGGUUGGUGUAAUAUGGCCAGUGGGCGGAAUCUGGUCCUCAGACUGAUUUUGCAAAUAAUCUUAUAGAAACACAGCAACACCCAUUCAUUACAUGUUGUUUAUGGUUGCUUUGGGGUUACAAUGGCAGAGUUGAGUAGUUGUGACAGAGAUCACUAGGCUCACCACAUCUGAGAUAUGUACUGACUGACCCUGUACAGAAAGUUUGCUGCUCUUAGAGGAAUGUGUGUUUCUAGUGUCAGCAAUAAACUUCUUGGAUUUGUUUUGUUUUCUCAUCUUUACAUGAUAGUUGCAGACUAGUUGAUCCUUGUGACCUGUUUUUGAAUGCCACUGUGUAUUCUGUCAGGGCCCUCUGAUUCUGUUUCUUAUGGUGCUGAAUGCACAAUUUAAUGCCCUGGAAUUUCCUUCUGUCUUCUGCUAAACUCAUGCCUCUUCAGAUAGUUAAAAUCCUGUUCUACCUUAGAAGUCUCCAGAGUUAUUUUCCUAAAUUAAGAAGAACUGGCUUUGAAGUUACUCAUUAUGCCACACACAAUGGUUGAAAAGAGCAUCUCUUAUGUACUGUGUAUAUUUCAGCAUCCACUCAGCUUCUUAGGUAGAAAAGGAAGAGUCUUCCACAGUGUAUUUUAUCCAUAUUUGGGUCAGAAACUCUUCUUUACCACGGAGCGUGAUGGAAGAAAGAUAUGGGAUGGUAACAGUAGGCCAGGGAUGUAAUAAUCACAAAAUUUGAGAUAUUUUGUGACUGGUGACUCACGCCUGUGAUCCCAGCAUUUUGGGAGGCCAAAGCGGGCGGAUCACCUGAGGUCAGGAGUUCAAGACCAGCUUGGCCAAUGUAGUGAAACCUCAUCUCUACUAAAAAAAUAUAAAAAUUAGCUGGGUGUGGUGGUGCACACCUGUAAUCCUAGCUACUCAGGAGGCUGAGGCAGGAGAAUAGCUUGAACCAAGGAGGUGGAGGUUGCAGUGAGCUGAGAUUGUGCCACCACUGCAUUCCAGUCUGGGUGACAGAGCGAGACUCUGUCUCAAAAAAAAAAAAAAAAAAAAUCUAGAAAAAGAUCUCCAAGAUUCAAUCAUCUAAUUAUUUCUUUUAAAAAUGAGAAAAAUGACUCCUGGUCAGCUUUUACCUUCUUUUUCCAACUGUCUUGACAAUACUUUCAUAUUGGGCUUUUAAAGUCUCAAGUAAUAGGUUUUUAAAACCUCAGCUGAUAAAAGUAUAAAAAUAAAGUUAAAACAUAUUAAAGACAAAACCCAAGAAUCAGCUUCCUCUUCCUUCAUUACUCUUGCAUGGGUGUUGGCUCUAAUUUCUCCAUCUAGUUAGGCAGUCCUUUGCUUUUUAUUGCUUGUUUAUUGAUGACAUUUGCCAUUUGUAGCAAUAGUAAUAGAAUCAUCUAUAUAUUUGUGGCCUUGUUGAAUGUAGAAAAAGGAUAGUGGCAUUUUCUAAUUGUGUAACCCUAUAACACCUUGACGGGGGACUACAGUUCAUAUGCUGGACCUUUUGUGUUUGUUCAUGGCGGGUGGGUUGCUUUAAUAUACUUAGCACAUUGUCCUAAUUGCCAUCCUUUUGGGGAGGGCUAUAUAUCCAAGCUAAUAUGGUAGCAUUUUUGUUUUAACAUAGAGCUGACCCAAGGUAGACGUAAGUGUUGUUCAUUUUUGCCUAAUACUAAUAAAAUUACCUAAUUGUUGAAGCUUGGAGCUUGAAUCUAGGCAUUUUAUUUCAUUUCAAGUACACCCUAGUAUUUUAAAGCAUAAAUAUCCUACUAUCCUCAACAACUUUAGAACAAAAAUAAAUAUUUUAACAAGAAAAAAGCAUGCCAUGACAAGCUGUAACUUAGUAAAGAAAGACAAGGAAUGGUCUCUAUAGACCGAGAAAAAAUAGGUCCUCAGAUAUAUUUAUACCAAAGGAAUGUUAUGAAUGUAAAAAACAGUUUGACUCCCCCCCCCCCGCCAAAAAAAAACUCCACAACCCUAUAUUUUGUUAUCACAAGACUGUUUUAGUGAAUAAAACAGUAUGAAUUGGUUUUACCUGUUUCCAUUUAAUACUUAUUAACUUUAUAAUCGUAUAGCCUGAGGGUUUUAACUUCAAGUACAGCAUGAUGACUAUAAUAGUUUUACACAAGGCAAAUGUGAAAAACAGAAGUAAUUUCUUUUAAAAAGUGUGAAAUAUCUAAAAGGUAUGACUUCAAUACAUCAACUCAGGUGAGACAGACAUGUAACUUCUUUUUCCAUGUUUAAACCUAAUAUUGCUUUUGUGCCUCUGAAGGCUCGGAGUUUCCAUGCCUUCUUAGGACAUGCCACCCUCUCCACACCUGGAUGUGUUCACCAACCCAGAAGCUCUUGGAACCCCAUCAUUUGGGGUUUUUAUGGAGUCCCCAUUAAGUAGGUAUGACUGAUUAAAUCACUGGCCAUUGGUGGUUGACUCAAUCUCCAGCCUCUCUUCCCUCUCUGAAGGUGAAGGGGUGGGAAGGUGAGGCUAAGUUCCAACCCUCGGAUCACAGGGUUGGUUCCUCUGCAACCAGGCUUCAUCGUGAAACAAUACAGGGCCCACCGAGAGUCACCCCAUUAGCAAACUCAGAUGUGAUUGAAAGGGGCUUAUUAUGAAUAUCAAAAGACAUUUCUCUUUCUCCUAUUACUCAGACAGUUACAAGGGUUUCAGAAGCUCUUGCACCAGGAACUGGGAACAAAGACCAAAUAUAUAUGUCUUCUUCUAUUACAAUGUCACAGGUGUGACAGAGUAGGUAAAUGGAGUCUCAGAGAGUCCCCAGAGUAUUCCAUGGAGCCACAAAAUGAAGAAUAAAUGGAUGGUUCUCCCCAUGAUCAAAAGUGGCCUGAAAAUACUUGAGAAUGAGUCAUAACUUAAAAGGCUGUAUAGUAGAAAAGAAUGCACAGAGGACCGAAUGUAAAAGAAGGCACCCCAGUCUCAGCUAGUGUGGAUGCAUGCCAGUGUAGAAAGAUGCUAGUGUGGCUACAUUGGUGCACUGAAGACCAAACUCCUGCAUGGCCCCACAUCCUUGAUACCUUAGAUCUAUAUCAUCCCCUAAAACUUAGGUGUUAUGACAUUCAGGAUAUGCUACCCCAUCAUUUUUUAGGCUGAAGGAAUUUGAGAAAACAGAAGCAGGAAUGUAAUUGCCCAGUGGGUUCUUCCUGCCCUGUGCACAGACAAAACCAGUUCACUGAGACCAUGGUAUUGCAGUUAAGAAAGAGUUUAACAGGAGGCUGGCCACAUGGAAGAAUUACAGUUAUUACAAAUUAGUCUCCCUGAAGGCUCAGAGGUCAGGGUUUUUCAUGGAUAGUUCGGUGAGCAGUGGAUUAGGGGUAAGUGCUGCUGAUUGGUUGGGGAUACAAUCAUAGGGGUGUGGAAAAUGGUCCUUGUGUGCUGAGUCACCUCUGGGUGGGAGGCCAUGGGACCCAUUGAGUCAUGAGUCACGAGGCUGGGUUGGGUCAGUGUGAAAAACAUCUCAAAAGACCAAUCUUAGGUUCAAAAUAGGUGAUAUUACCUGUAGGAGCAAUUGGGAAAGUUAUAAAUUAUAUGACCUCUUGGCCCCAUGACUUCUGAGCAGUAAGAGAUGAUAGAAACUAAACCUACAUUUUAUCAGCACUCAGGCCUCUUCCAUAAUCCUAAUCUUGUGGCCUUUCGUUAGUCUUAUAAAGGUGGUUUGGUAACUGCCCUCAAGCAAGGAGGGGAUCAGUUUUAGGGAGGUGCUAUUAUCAUCCUUGCUUCAAAGUUAAGCUGUAAACUAAAUUCCUCCCAUAAUUAGCUUGGCCUACACCCAGAAAUGAGCAAAGACAGCCAGCCUGUGAUGUUAGAAGCAAGAUGGAGUUAGUCAUGUUAGAUUUCUCUCACUGUCAUAAUCUUUGCAAGGGAGGUUCCAGGAAGGUCAUCCUACCUUUCCCCUCACCCUUCUCAUGUGACACAGGUCAUAAAGCCUAGGAAGGAUUUUCCGACCUUUCCCUGAAGCAGGUCGUAAGACCCUCAUUGGGGAGGUGCCAUUUCUAGACCAAGAGAAAAGGCACAUCCUUAUGUCUGAAGACACAGGGACACAGAGAAGAAUCUGAACAAACAGGUCUUGCUAAGUUCCCCCCAGUUUGUUUUCAUUAGAUCAUGCCCCUUUAUUCAAUGCUGUUUCUCCACAACUAUCCAUUUCUUCAUCAAGCCUAGCAUAAAAAAUACAGGUUUCACGGUUUCUUUGGGUCUUCAUUUCCUUAUAAAGUCUCCUGUACCAUGUAAAACUUAAAUAAGUUUCUCUGCUUUUCUCUUGUUGAUUCUGUCCUUUGUUUUAUAACCCUCAGACAUGAACCUAGUGAUGAGUGAGGGGAAGAUAAUUUAUUUUCCUCUACAGAUGCAAAAGGGAAAAGGGAACAAUCCCUAAACGGAAGUUAUGAUCCAGGGAUCAGAGGCUCAAAAGCAAGAUUAGGUUUAAAUGUAGAAAAAUACAUUCCUCUUUCAUUUUAGAUAUCCCAAAUGCCCAAAUCAACCCAGCUAUUUCUCAGAAGUCUGUUUCCCCUCCACCCUCUGCUCCUCUGUGUAGUGAAACUGUCUCGUUUGGGAGUAAAAUGGCCUGGCUUUCCUUACUGAGUAUACUCUCAAGACUAUUGCCUAUUACUUUUUUCCAUUCCUUCUUGAGAACUACGCUUUUUAAAACAAGAAUUGACUCCAUUUAUCUUUUUCUUUUAGCCUUCUGCUGGGGUAUGCCUUCUCUAAAGCAAUGAAUAAAAAAUGCUUUAGCUGAAUAAAUGGGGCAAGGAUCAAGGAGUACAAGCUAAUAUUUCACAAUAUUAUCCUGCCAUAAAUAAAAGUAUGGUUUAAAUGACAAUGGUGGGGUUAGGAGUUACAGGUCACUGAAACACCACCUUAUUCAUGCUACCAGCCCCUUGGCUUUCCUGAUGGCAGCAGGGAAGCAACACAUAGGUAGAAUUAUGAGCCAACAUCGUGACUGGAGAGGGAUUGAAAAUCUUAUUUGUUGUCUUCCUAGACUAUUACAGUUAUCUGUUGAAAUUAGACUCAAUUCUUUGGCGAAAGUACUCAUUUUUAAGGUCCAUAAUAAAUUGUAACUAUGUAGCCUUUGUUGCAUGAGUUUAGUAUGAGCUGAUUGGUGGGCCACAGUGAAAGGCAGAGGGAAAUGGAUGUUAACUAAGAGGUAGAAGUCCCCUUGAAGUUCUGACCCUGUCACUAAUGAAGUCUUUAUUUCCGUAUUUAGUAAUUGCCUUUUUUUUUUUUUUUUGAGACAGAGUCUUGCUCUGUCGCCAGGAUGGGGUACAGUGGCACAGUAUCUGCUCACUGCAACCUCCGCCUCCCAGGUUCAAGCAGUUCCCCUGCCUCAGCUUCCUGAAUAGCUGGGACUACAGGUGUCUGCCGCCAUGCCUGGCUAAUUUUUGUAUUUUUAGUAGAGACGGGGUUUCACUAUGUUGGCCAGGAUGGUCUCGAUCUCCUGACCUCGUGAUCUGCCCACCUCAGCCUCCCAAAGCUAGGAUUACAGACGUGAGCCACCAUGCCCGGCCAACUGCCUUCUUUAUAUCUCAUUUUAAAAAUUUAUAACAAAGAAGUGGGUUGAUUUUCAAGACCUAGUUGUGUUAGUUUGAAUGAGAUGCAUACAUUUGGCAAGUCUGGGGUCUAAGAAAAGAUAAAGAUCUGAAUGCUGAAAAUCUAGAGAAUUCAGGUUACUGGGGGAUAACUUAAAGUCACUAGGGAAUUCGGGUUACUGGGGGGAUAACUUAAGGUCACUAGGGAAUUCGGGUUACUGGGGGGAUAACUUAAGGUCACUAGAACCCAAAUGCAGGGAAGAGUUGGGUGCUCUUUGGCAAAUAAACAUUCCUGACUUAGCAUUUUUCUUAAACCCGAACGUGCCAGCUGUUUUUUUGUUUUUUUGUUUUUUUGUUUUGUGACCUCAGCCAGGCUUGCGUGUUUAUUCAUCACAUAUUCUAAGCUCAUAUACAACUGUGACCUGAUCCAGCCUUCAAGGAACUCACUCUUGAUUUUAGGAAUCUUUCCACCACUUCGAUUUCAUCUUACUCCUGAAACAGUCAGCCAGAACUGUCUAAUUCAGUCUAUACUUCUGAUACAAAACUCUACCCAGCAACCACUAUGGUUUUGUUGCUUUAGGUACGUGUUAGAAAGCACCCACAUCAAUUUACAGAAAAUCCUUAACUGAAUCUCUAGUCCCAGAGGAGUCAUAUUUUAUUAUAUGGUGCUUUUUAUUUAAAGAGAUCGGUUUAAUAGAAAUUACUCAGGCAUUUGAAGUGAUAGCUUUAAAAUGUGGGACUGGGGAAAAUAAGAACACUUGACCUCUCUCCAUAAAAUUGAAUUGUUCUUUAGGUUUAAAGUUUUGACAGACAAAGAGAAAGUGAGAGCAAGUGAGGGUGAAAAUAUAUCCUUAUUUGGUAAUGAGUACCCAUUAAGAGGACAGUAUAUUACAUUUCAUCUUCUUACUUCACAUUCCUGUUUUAAGGAUUUGUGAGCAAAGUGCUGUGAGACCUCUAGAGUUAAGAGGCUGGAGAUAGGUAGUUUUGAUGGUAUUUUAAGGAGUGCUCCAUAAUGUGUAGUGUCUGAGUGCUGAAGCUUAAUCAGCUUCAAUUAAAUCCAAAACAUACUGAAUAGCUCCUAUGUGUCUGGCAUUGAGCUGUGUGCCAAAGUGGUGGAAAGAUGUAAGAGCCACUGAGGCUUAGAGAUGAAAAGGAUCUUGGAGCCACUGGUUUCCUGCCUGCUGGAGUUUCACCAUCAAGGACCCUUUCGUUAUUUUCCUUCUCCCAUGCAUUUUAUUAAAAUUUUUGGUUUAGUAAACCAAAUUCACUAAUGGGAUGUUAUUUUCAUAUCAAAGAGUAUAAUUCUGCCAAUCAAGGCUUCUGAUCAGCAUAAAAUAAUUAGGUUUCAUACUGAAUGCACAAAUUCUAGUCAAAAGCAAAGCCAUUUGAUGACAUGUCUGCUAUGUUGCCAUUUGCUUUAAGAGAGGUAAAGGUAGCCUGACUUCUGUUCACUCUGUAGUACAGAAUACAUUGUUAACAAGUCAUAGGUAUGUUCUUUUAGGUUUCUAAUUACUGUCAGCCUCUCAUUUCAGACAGGUGAUGUGAUAAGGUGAAAUGAUUACUAUAUUUAGACUCAAAAGUCCUGAGUUUGAGUCCUCGUUUAACGAUCUAGUCCAUGAGCUUCAGUUUUCUCACCUGUUAAAUGGAAAUGAUGAUUAUUUCCUGGAAAUUGCAUUUCCAGGUUGUUUUGAAUGAUAAAUGAUAUGGUGUAUAUAUCAGCUGUUUGCAAACCAGAAAAAGCUAUUCUAUGGUAAACACAUGCAGUGGGCUGAAUUGUGUCUCCCAAAAUUCAUAUGUUGAAGUCCUCACCCCCAGGGCCUCAGAAUGUGACUGUAUUUGGAUCUAGGGUCUUCAAGAGAUAACUAAGUUAGAAUGAGGUCAUUUGGGUUGAUCCUAAUCCAACUGACUGAUAUCCUUAUAAGACGACGAAAUUUGGAUACAGAAAUACACAGAAGACAGGGAGAAGAUGGCCAUCUACAAGCUAAGGAGAGAGGCCUCAGAAGAAACACACCUGCCACACCUUGAAUUUGGACUUCUAGCCAUCAGAACUGUGGGAAAAUAAAUUUCUGUUGUUUAAGCCAGGAGUCCUCAACCCCCGGGCUGUGGACCUGUACCAGUCGGUGGCAUGUUAAGGACUGGGCUCCACAGCAGGAGGUGAGUGGUGGGCGAGUGAGCAUUACUGCCUGAGCUCCACCUCCCGUCAGAUCAGCAGUGGCAUUAGAUUCUCAUAGGAGCACAAACCCUAUUGUAAACUGAGCACGCAAGGGAUCUAGGUUGUGCGCUCCUUACGAGAAUCUAAUGCCUGAUAAUCUGAGAUUGAACAGUUUUAUCCCCAAACCAUCCCCUCCACCACCCCCGUGGUCUGUGGAAAAAUUGUCUUCCACAAAACUGGUCCCUGGUGCCGAAAAGGUUAGGGACCAGCGGCUCAAGCCACCCAGCCUGUGGUACUUUGUUACGGUAGCCCUGGCAAAUGAAUACAACACGUUUUAGACUAUGAUGUUACACAUGCAGUGUGUUGAGAGCCAAAGAACCCAAAUGAUUCGUGGUAUCUGCCCUUGAAGAGUUUUUAAUCUUUUUGGGCAUGAUGAAACAUACACAUGGAAAAUAAAAUAGCAUAUAACCAAGUGCCCAAAUCAGUAAUAAAUACAGUUGACUCCAUAAACAUUUAGGAACCUUCUAUCCCAUGUUUCCACAUUCUAUCCCAGUGGCUUUUGCCACUAAAUUUCUUCACCCACUAUUAGACUGAUGUUUUCAUCUUUCAGUAUCAGACUCAAGCUUUAAUCUAGAAAGAGGGGGUGGGGGGAUAAAUGCUAUACUUUGGAACCAGUCCGGAUAUUUUAAGUAUGUUUUUAAAAAGUAUAAUCCUCACAACAUGAAAGUUAUUAGUUCUAUUUUUCAGGUGAGAAGAGUUAAGGUCAAACAGACGAAAGCUAGUUAGUGGAGGGACUGGUAUUCCAAGCCCAUUCUGGUUAAACUAAAUCUUGUGUUCUUUCCACUAGAAAACUGCUUUUUGUCUUAAUUAUAAUUUUGUGACAAGGAUGUAUAGUCCAUUAAGGAAUAUAUACAACAGAAGAAGCAUUUAAGUGGACUUGAGUUUGUUAGACUUUGGAUGGUGGAGACCUGUGCCUGCUACUUCUCUCAUCUCCUGAUACCUAAUGCAUAGUGUUCAGUAAGUAUUUAUUUGGUGAUAACAAUAUCAAAAACUAGAUAAUGCUUAGAAGAUCCAACACCUUCCAAAAUCUCUGUUAACCAGGUACUGAAAUAUGGUCAACCAGAUGAGCUGAAAUGUCAAGAACUUAUAGACACACAUGGUUUCAUGGUUGUGAAACUAGAAGAUGUGGCAUAUUUUACACAAUGGAGGGAAGAGCAAAGGUUAUGCAUGUGCGGAGGCAGAGCCCCUAGGCAGGUUUCCCUCUUUUCCUUCCUGUGCACUGAUUUUUAUUUUGGUGAACUGAAACAGGGGUCUAACAAACUGGUAUCUCAUUUGUCUUUAUAAACAGAACUGCCAGAUUGGCUUUGCAAUUCAGGGCCCUGUAGGGUGCCCACCUCCUCAGUUUGGGCAGCAGCAUUACAUCUGAGUCUUAGAAUAAAAAUGGAAAGCAAUGGCUCAACCCAUUGGUUUGUCACCAUCCACAUGAAGGAUCUCUAUUGGUAAAAAAACAGACUCCCGUGUUCAAGGCCCUGGGGCUGGAAUCAAAUCCAUCAUUCAUUUAUUUCGGUUUUUUAAGGCUAAAUACAUAGGGAAGAAAAUGAAAUGUGAGAAAGCUGUGCAUUUUCAAUGUCAUCUUGAAAGUGAGUAUCUUUAGACACAUAAAGUAGAUGAGUGGUUAACUUGGGCUGGGAGAGGGAGUGAGGAGUGGUUGUACAUGGCACAAGGUUUCUAUUUAGUGUGAUUGAAAUGUUCUAUAAUUUGAUUGAUGAUUGUACAGUUCUGUAAAUAAACUAAAAUGUAUUGAAUUGUAUAAUUAAAACAUGCAGAUUUUAUAUUUAAAAUAUACUUUGAUAAAAGUGUUUUAAAAAUGAAUAUCUCAUAGGGUAGAAUGAAAUGAAUAAGAGAAACAGUGAGGCAUCCAGGGGACUUUCUGCACAGUGGGUCUGUCAUUAGGCAGGUACGUUGCCACAGCCAGUUCUAAUGCCCACUCAUAGGCCAAUGCCUAGGACAAUUGCUCAGAUAUCGCCUCUGACAGGCAAGUGUUCCAUCAGUAACAGCAGGCAUCGGAAGAUGAUGCCAUUCCCUGCUGUUAGUAUGAUUAUAUUGACUUAGGUUUUUAAUUUUCUUUCUUGCUGUGUUUUUUUUUUUUCACCUUCUUAGCCUCUAAAGCAUGAACAUCUGUGUUUUUCAG
rnacentral:lncRNA from 1 species